CCAGACUCCUACGGGAGGCAGCAGUAGGGAAUUUUGCGCAAUGGGGGAAACCCUGAACCAGCAACGCCGCGUGAGGGAAGACGGUUUUCGGAUUGUAAACCUCUGUCCUCUGUGAAGAUAAUGACGGUAGCAGAGGAGGAAGCUCCGGCUAACUACGUGCCAGCAGCCGCGGUAAUACGUAGGGAGCAAGCGUUGUCCGGAUUUACUGGGUGUAAAGGGAGCGUAGACGGUUACGCAAGUCUGGAGUGAAAGGCGGGGGCCCAACCCCCGGACUGCUUUGGAAACUGUAUAACUGGAGUGCAGGAGAGGUAAGUGGAAUUCCUAGUGUAGCGGUGAAAUGCGUAGAUAUUAGGAGGAACACCAGUGGCGAAGGCGGCUUACUGGACUGUAACUGACGUUGAGGCUCGAAAGCGUGGGGAGCAAACAGGAUUAGAUACCCGAGUACG
rnacentral:rRNA from 1 species